UACGAAGGGGGCGAGCGUUGUUCGGAAUUACUGGGCGUAAAGGGCGCGUAGGCGGCGACUUAAGUUAGAUGUGAAAGUCCUGGGCUUAACCUGGGGACUGCAUUUGAUACUGGGUUGCUUGAAUUCGGGAGAGGAUAGCGGAAUUCCCAGUGUAGAGGUGAAAUUCGUAGAUAUUAGGAAGAACACCGGUGGCGAAGGCGGCUAUCUGGACCGACAUUGACGCUGAGGCGCGAAAGCGUGGGGAGCAAACAGG
rnacentral:rRNA from 1 species